ACAGCAGCAGGCGUCAAGGUCGGGAUCGAACCCACGACCUCCUGCAUACCAGGCGAGGUAGUUAACAUCUCCUCGUGACCGUGGUGCUCAGUCGUCAAGCAAGCUCUAUCUGACUGAAUAAAAAUGAUCAUCAUACUUCCCUCCAUUUGGCCAUCGCUUCAGUGACAUCUCUCUCUGCCCGUGCAUCCGUCAUUAAUGGCAAGCGCUAUCCCGUGGCUGGGGUGAAUGAAGUGGACAGGCAUUAAUGACGAUGCCUCAGUCAACCAGGAGCCCUCGGAGGUAAUGGCUUUAAACAGCGCUCGGCUUCGUUCUAAUUGAAUGCACAUCAUUCACUGCACAAUCGCAUAAACACGAGCGCUAAAGAUGAUGAGUUUAAUGGGAAUUCUCUAUCGACAAAAUGUUGACCACACGCGGUCUUGACAGUGGUACAAAUUUAUUUUUCAGACUCUAUUAAAACACUUGCCACACAUUUCUUAUUAUUUUUGUAAAGCUUAUUAAACUUUUUUUAAAAUGUGCAAAUGGUGUUAUCAUGUCCAAUAUGACUACUGCCGACGACGAAUACAAUGAGCGUGUUUUAAUUAAUUUGGACCAUGCACAGAAAGCGAAUACCGAAGCAACACUGCACUGGCUUCGAGUCCAAUCUGCUUUUAUACAUUUUUGUCAAUUCCUGAUUGCCAAUUUUGUUUUGAUUGUGGUAUUUAGAAGAAAAACAAAUGUAAUUCGCAGUGAACCUAAUCAACCAAAGCUCUUCCAUGCAGUAAAUUCUGCCACCUAACAAUGCAAUGUCACACAAUCGUAUUCCCGUAUUUAUCAUCAUAAAAGGCUCAGCGGACCUCAGCUGCCUCAAGCGAGGGAGCCAUUCGUCACAGCAGCACCCCGGUGACAGGGUCAAAAAUUUACUUAUCUCGACCUUUGAACCUUGUGGGAUGGACCUGGUUCAUGCUUUUGCAAAUCAGAAAAAAAAUUGAAAUGACAAUCAAAGCAACUGCAUUAACAAUGCGUGCCCGCUGCGGCGCACGUCACAUCACUUUUGGGGGACGUCGCCGAAUCUCCUGAGCGCGACGGAAGAGACGAGCAGAAUUUUGCAACCGUUAAGAGUAUCAACGGGAGAACGCGAUGACGUAUCAUUAAAAAGACGGCGACAUUGACGAAUCGUCGUCGGCAAUCGGCGGCAGCCGUACUCAAAUCCGCUGCUGGAUGAAGGCCACUCCAGGCCGUCGCCACAUCCCGCGGUCCCGUGACGAGGGAACGAGUGCAACCGGUGCGGUGGCAGCGCCGCUCUCUAACGAGGUCACCGACGACAGAGGGACACCCAAGUCCGGUUACGUGACAUGGUGUAACCGGUCGGCCUAUGCACCCAACUUUGUCUGCUUGUCCAGACCGCACCGUGCAGUGCCGAUAAGGGCGCCGAGACAGUCGUACGUUCGUGAAAUAAGGACGUAGCAAAAGCUGUUGCUGCUGGAUGCCAAUUUUUGUAUUAUUGAUGAGCUGAAUUGCAAUUAAAAUUGGGUAUCUUUGAGAACCGUGUUUGUGCAUGGGCAUGAAGUUUAUUUUUGCCAAUUAAAUUAUCGUCAAAUUUUUACAUUCAAGUACAGAUAACUGUAAAGUACCCUUCAAGAAAUUAUUACACAUCCUGUGAUAUUGUAAGAUGAUUGAAGUGUUGUACAGUAUUUUAUUGGCAACACAAAUUAUCCCACCUGACUUGGCAGACACGAUAUUGCUCACCGCUUUGUAGCUGCUUUUCACGAACCUCCUUGCAGUGCAACACAGAUGGAACACCGACAAACAUUAUUUUUACAAAUGUAUUUUGGGUCACAUGAAAAUUGUAUUCUGGAAAUUUAAAAAAAUAUAUUAAAUAAAAUACAUGUCAUUUAACCAUGAAUUGCCAUCAAUAAGUUGGCUUUUUUAAUAUCAAACCGUAGAGUUUGAUUUAAAAAAAACGGAGAAAAUUCAUGGUACAGACGCUGUUAACUUCUGUUAAAAGUCUCCGUGUGUGGUGCUGGAACUGUGCAGGAACCAUAGACCAGGCCGGAGGCUUACGCCGCGAAGUGGCCACCGUGUGGAAGAGAUGCCCGUCUACAAGAGAUGGAGGUGCCUGCAAG